rnacentral:lncRNA from 1 species
CGCCGGAGGUAUAAAAUGAUUUUUUUUAUUUUAGAAAUGUCGUCCAUUGUAUUGUACUUGGAUUUUUCUGGAGACCUUGCUUCAAUUCUUUAUUUACUUUUAAAAAUACAGUUUAUUAGUGCUAAUAUUGAUCAUAUGUUCAUUUGCUAUCCUCUAGCAGAACAUGAGAGGAAAAUCGGAAAACAUAUGUUUAGGAUCAACGUCUACAGUUCUCUGAAAUACUUCCGUUAAAAAAACAAACAUUCAUACUGUACUGAUGCGUUACUUUGAUUUAUGAAAU